UACAGAGGGGGCAAGCGUUGUUCGGAAUUACUGGGCGUAAAGGGCGCGUAGGCGGCCUGUUAAGUCGAACGUGAAAUCCCCGGGCUCAACCCGGGAACUGCGUCCGAUACUGGCAGGCUUGAAUCCGGGAGAGGGAUGCGGAAUUCCAGGUGUAGCGGUGAAAUGCGCAGAUAUCAGGAGGAACACCGGUGGCGAAGGCGGCUCUCUGGACGGUGACUGACGCUGAGACGCGAAAGCGUGGGGAGCAAACAGG
rnacentral:rRNA from 1 species